AAUAUAAUGAUUUGAAUUACAUAAAUCAUAUUAUGUAGAAAACAUUGUCCACAUAUAAAUAUCCGAACCUUUGGUGAAAAGUGGGAAAAAUCACAAGAGAAGAAAGGUCCACAGAAGGUUGGGAAGUAGUACACCGGUUCACUAGAUUCUACCACUGCGAGGCCCAUGGCAGCUCUCUGGGUCCCUAUUGACGCUGGGGUGUGAAAGUAUGGGGGAGCGAACGGGAUUAGAUACCUUGGUAGUCCAUGCCGUAAACGAUGAGUGUUCGCCCAGCUAACAUGUAAAACACUCCGCUUGGGGAGUACGGUCACAAGAACGAAAUCAAAGAAAUUGAUGGUGGCCUGUACAAGCGGUGGUCGUAUGUCACAUAGCUCUCUCCAAAGCUGAAUUCAAACUAU
rnacentral:rRNA from 1 species